rnacentral:lncRNA from 10 species
AAUGAGACUUACCCACUACUGAAGAUGCUAUCCAAGGAAAUGAGAGAAGGACAGAGAUACCUUGGCUUCUAUCUUCCUCUGCCCUCCAAUUGUCCUUAAUCGCUAUAUAAAUAUGAGGCACUUUCUACUAACAUGAGGAUGGAUAGAAAUUGGCCCUUUGUAGGGCCGGGCGCGGUGGCUCACGCCUGUAAUCCCAGCACUUUGGGAGGCCGAGGUGGGCGGAUCAUGAGGUCAGGAGAUCGAGACCAUCCUGGCUAACAUGGUGAAACCCCGUCUCUACUAAAAAUACAAAAAAAUUAGCCGGGCACGGUGGCGGGCGCCUGUCGGGAGAUUGAGGCAGGAGAAUGGCAUACACAUGG